AGUUUUGUUGGAUUGCGUUAGGCUGUUUUAUGACUUUGCUGUGCAAAUCCAUGCAAAACUCU
rnacentral:pre_miRNA from 1 species